rnacentral:rRNA from 2 species
UUUAACGAGAGUUUGAUCCUGGCUCAGGAUGAACGCUGGCGGCGUGCUUAACACAUGCAAGUCGAGCGAAGCACUUUACUUAGAUUUCUUCGGGAUGAAGAGUUUUGUGACUGAGCGGCGGACGGGUGAGUAACGCGUGGGUAACCUGCCUCAUACAGGGGGAUAACAGUUAGAAAUGACUGCUAAUACCGCAUAAGACCACAGCACCGCAUGGUGCAGGGGUAAAAACUCCGGUGGUAUGAGAUGGACCCGCGUCUGAUUAGCUGGUUGGUGGGGUAACGGCCUACCAAGGCAACGAUCAGUAGCCGGCCUGAGAGGGCGACCGGCCACAUUGGGACUGAGACACGGCCCAAACUCCUACGGGAGGCAGCAGUGGGGAAUAUUGCACAAUGGGGGAAACCCUGAUGCAGCGACGCCGCGU